rnacentral:lncRNA from 12 species
AUGUUGACAGAGAGGAUCAGAUACCACCAGGUCUCACUGCAUCUAGUCAAUCCUACUACCAAGGUAAAUACUUCAGCAUGGAGAGAUUUUUAUCUACAUAAAUGUAAUGAUGAUGAGUUAAAUAUCAACACUAUCCAAAGACCUAUUCUCUCACUGGAAAAUGCCGAUUCCUGUAUUUCUGUUUUAACAAAAGCCCACCUAUGCAUUCCACUCCUACUACACCAGAGCAAAGUCUCCUUAUGUAAUUAUCAGAAGACUGAGUUCAGACCUGCAGGAUGAAUUGUACAGGAAAUGGACAGGAAACAGACCAAUUGCAAAGUAAUUGUAACAGUCCAGUGGGAAAAUAAUAGAGGUUGAAGCCACCAAUCUUAGUGACAUUUUGGAAUUUUAAUCUCAAGACCCAGAUCUUUCAGACAAGUGAGUGGAAAAUGUUGAUGAUGACACAUAAAUUUCUAAUCUGGUGGGUGUGAGGAAUAGCAGGGUGAGUGAGCGGCUGGUUUAUGUGGAGCAUGACGUGUUUUAGACAAACUAAAUCUGACAGUCUAUCCAUUAUCCUCUCUAGAUUGCUGACCCAGAAGCCAAACUGAAGUGAAAAGAGGAGUUGAGGAGAAGAGGCAGAGACAUGACGUUCUAGAGAUAAGAUGUAGAGAUCCAUGACAUUCAAACUCUUCCUCUCUAGAUGAGACUAGGCCUGUUCUAACAUAAUUCAAUACAGACCAAUUUCAAAUUGCAGCUGUUUUCUUUCUUUCUGUGAUAUUAUGAUUUACAGUAAGAAUUACCUGUAUAUUUGGUCUUUGUGCCUGUUGCUGGCACAGAGCUCCCAAAACCCUUGGAAUUUAAGAAGUGUUGAGAGUAAUUAAGGUGUCUUCUGUUAUGUUAAGGAGUGGCUUUUGGACCGCAUCUAAGAAUGAGGACUGGUUGCCGGUUGAACCAACCAUGUGAUUAGAAGAUUGGACCUUUCAGUCUUUACCCCCUCAAACUCCCGGGAGGGGAGAAGAGUUGGAGAUGGAGUUCAAUCACCAAGGCUCACUGACUUAACAAAUCAGGCCUAUGUGACGAAGCCUCCAUAAAAAUUAAAAGGACAGGGAUCAGGGAUUGGAAAGCUGCUGGGUUGGUGAACACAUGGAUACUGGAAAGAGUAGCAUACCCAGAGAACAUGGACAUCCCACACCCUCUCCCUGUGCCGUGGGCAUCUCUUCCAUCUCUUCCAUAUGGCUGUUCCUAAGUUUUGGAAAAAACAAACAAACAAACAAACAAACAAACUGAUGAUCUAGUAAGUACAAUGUUCUUCUGAGUGCUAUGAGCAAAUCAAACCCUGGGGAGGAGUGGGUGAUGGGAACUUCUGACUUAUAAGCAGUCAGUCAGAAGUACAGGUAAGAACCUGGACUUGCAUCUGGCAUCUGAUGUGCAAUAGGGGGUCAUUGAAACCCUCAGGUUGGUCAGAGGCACAGGUGACAACUUGAGUUUUCAACUGGCAUCAGAGGUUGGAGCAGCUGUCUUGCAGGACUGAGCCCUUAACCUGUGGUUUCUGCUGCUAUCUCCACCCCCCACCCCCCCACCCCCGGGGUGAAUAGUUUCAGAACUGAGUUGAGUUCUCCUUGAGAAACCACCCUGCUGGUUUCUGAGAAGUGCUUGGUGGUGUGCAGGGAAGUCCCCCACCGGCCCCCGCCGCAACCACACACCCUGGAAAUGGUCUAAGAUGACCAAAAGACAUCCCUCAUAAAAAAAUGAAAUCAUUUUAUUGCUUCAGAAAAAUUUACACAUACAAACUGCUAUUUGUAGAAGAUUUGGACAUUGAAAUCACUGACCUCAGUUUCUUUCUUUAAGCAGAAAAACUUUUCUUUUGUGACUAGAAGUGCAGUCUAUGCAUUUGUCCAGAGAAUGGGUAGUGCACCUCCUCUAUCAGAAUGAAAGAACUUCGAUUCCUUGGAAGUGAUUUUAAGAUUAUCCACUGCUGGGCAGCCCCAGUGGCCCAGUUGUUUAGUGCUGCCUUCAGCCCAGGGCGUGAUCCUGGAGACCCAGGAUCGAGUCCCACAUCGGGCUCCCUGCGUGGAGCCUGCUUCUCCCUCUGCCUGUGUCUCUGCCCCCCCCCCCUCUCUCUCUCUCUCAUGAAUAAAUAAAUAAAAUCUUAUAUAAAAAAAAGAUUA